UACGUAGGGUGCAGGCGUUAAUCGGAAUUACUGGGCGUAAAGCGUGCGCAGGCGGUUUGCUAAGACAGGUGUGAAAUCCCCGGGCUUAACCUGGGAACUGCGCUUGUAACUGGCAAGCUAGAGUGUGGCAGAGGGGGGUGGAAUUCCAGGUGUAGCGGUGAAAUGCGUAGAUAUCAGGAGGAACACCUGUGGCGAAAGCGGCUCACUGGACCAUAACUGACGCUGAUGCACGAAAGCUAGGGGAGCAAACAGG
rnacentral:rRNA from 1 species